ensembl:snoRNA U3 Small nucleolar RNA U3
UAGGCGGCUUUCAGGGAUCAUUUCUGUAGUUGGUUACUAGAGAACUUUCUGUGAAAGUGUAGAGCCCAGGAAACGACAGGAGGUGCAGUUUUCUCCUGAGUGUGAAGCCGGUGUUGCUUUCACCAUUGAUGUUUCUUCUCCUCUGGGGGGAGUGAGAGGGAGAGGACACAGGCUGAGUGGU